AGCAGUCGCCGCGGUAAUACAGAGGGUGCGAGCGUUAAUCGGAUUUACUGGGCGUAAAGCGUGCGUAGGCGGCUAAUUGAGUCGGAUGUGAAAUCCCCGAGCUUAACUUGGGAAUUGCAUUCGAUACUGGUUAGCUAGAGUGUGGGAGAGGAUGGUAGAAUUCCAGGUGUAGCGGUGAAAUGCGUAGAGAUCUGGAGGAAUACCGAUGGCGAAGGCAGCCAUCUGGCCUAACACUGACGCUGAGGUACGAAAGCAUGGGGAGCAAACAGGAUUAGAUACCCGGGUAGUCCCUGUCUCUUAUAC
rnacentral:rRNA from 1 species